GAUGAACGCUGGCGGCGUGCCUAAUACAUGCAAGUCGAGCGAACGGACGAGAAGCUUGCUUCUCUGAUGUUAGCGGCGGACGGGUGAGUAACACGUGUAUAACCUACCUAUAAGACUGGGAUAACUUCGGGAAACCGGCGCUAAUACCGGAUGAUAUUUUGAACCGCAUGGUUCAAAAGUGAAAUACGGUCUUGCUGUCACUUAUCGAUGGAUCCGCGCUGCAUUAGCUAGUUGGUAAGGUAACGGCUUACCAAGGCAACGAUGCAUAGCCGACCUGAGAGGGGGGUCGGCGACACGAGAGCGGGAACACGGACAAGACUACUAAGGGAGGGAGCAGAAGGGAAUGUUACGCAAUGGGCGAAAGCAUGACGGAGCAAGGCGGCGUGAGUGAUAAAGGUGUUGGGAGCGUAAAACUCUGUUAUGGGGUAAAAACAGAUGUGGAAGGAACUGUGGAGAGCUUGACGGUAAUGAAUCAGAAAGCAACGGCUAACUACGUG
rnacentral:rRNA from 1 species